CCUACUCUCUCACCAUCAUUUCACAAUUGAGUCUCCCCAAAUUCUCUCUCGACAGAAACCCUUCAAUCCCCAAUCUUCCAUCCCCAUUGGCUCUCCUCAAAACCCCCAAUCUCGUUGAACCCUAAUCCUAAAUAGUUGAAGCGCCGCCGAACCAAUUACUACAAAUCGAAGCCGUGAAGUUUUUUUGCUCGAGUCGGUGUGUCAAUUGAAGGUUACGGUUUGCUGAUUUGAAGACGAACGUGAACUAGAUGGGCCACCAUGAUUCGAGAAACUCUCCAAUGCUAAAAGAUAUACAGAAUGACAAGGAGAAGCAUACGAGCAAGAGGAAAUAUUGACAUUUUUUUAGUUUGUUUUCUAGAUAUAUUGUUUUUUUAUACUUGCUUUAAGACGUAUAUUAUUUAGGAGUAGUUAAGUAUUACAUUGUUUUGGAGUUAUCCCACUUUAUAAUUUUAUCCCUACUAUUAUUAUUUUUAUAA